rnacentral:rRNA from 1 species
GACGAACGCUGGCGGCGUGCCUAAUACAUGCAAGUAGAACGCUGAAGGAGGAGCUUGCUUCUCUGGAUGAGUUGCGAACGGGUGAGUAACGCGUAGGUAACCUGCCUGGUAGCGGGGGAUAACUAUUGGAAACGAUAGCUAAUACCUCAUAAGAGUAGAUGUUGCAUGACAUUUGCUUAAAAGGUGCAAUUGCAUCACUACUAGAUGGACCUGCGUUGUAUUAGCUAGUUGGUGGGGUAACGGCUCACCAAGGCGACGAUACAUAGCCGACCUGAGAGGGGGAUCGGCCAAACUGGGACUGAGACACGGGCCAGACUCCUACGGGGAGCAGCAGUAGGGAAUCUUCGGCAAUAGACGGAAGUCUGAACGAGGAACGCCGGGUGAGUGAAGAAAGUUUUCGGAUCGUAAAGCUCUGUUGUAAGAGGAGAAAGAGUGUGAGAGUGGAAAGUUCACGCUGUGACGGUAUCUUACCAGAAAGGGACGGCUAACUACGUG